rnacentral:rRNA from 1 species
UACGAAGGGGGCUAGCGUUACUCGGAAUUACUGGGCGUAAAGCGCGCGCAGGCGGCUUUUCAAGUCAGGGGUGAAAUCCCAGAGCUUAACUCUGGAAUUGCCUUUGAAACUGUUGAGCUGGAGUCCGGAAGAGGGUGGUGGAAUUCCUAGUGUAGAGGUGAAAUUCGUAGAUAUUAGGAGGAACACCAGUGGCGAAGGCGGCCACCUGGUCCGGUACUGACGCUGAGGCGCGAAAGCGUGGGGAUCAAACAGG